CGGUGCGAUUAUACCAGCACUAAUACACUGGAUCCCAUCAGAACUCCGUAGUUAAUCGAGCCUGAGCAAGAGUAGUACUAGGAUGGGUGACCUCCUAGGAAGUCCUCUUGGUGCACCCC
rfam:Gossypium arboreum cultivar AKA8401 contig_186767_1, whole genome shotgun sequence.